rnacentral:rRNA from 1 species
GACGAACGCUGGCGGCAGGCUUAACACAUGCAAGUCGAACGAGAUCUUCGGAUCUAGUGGCAGACGGGUGAGGAACACGUGGGAACAUCCCUUUCAGUUCGGAAUAACGUUGGGAAACUAACGCUAAUACCGGAUACGUCCUUCGGGAGAAAGAUUUAUCGCUGAAAGAUUGGCCCGCGUCUGAUCAGCUAGUUGGUGAGGUAAUGGCUCACCAAGGCUACGAUCAGUAGCUGAUCUGAGAGGAUGAUCAGCCACAUUGGGACUGAGACACGGCCCAAACUCCUACGGGAGGCAGCAGUGGGGAAUAUUGGACAAUGGGCGCAAGCCUGAUCCAGCCAUGCCGCGUGAGUGAUGACGGCCUUCGGGUUGUAAAGCUCUUUUGUCCGGGAAGAUAAUGACUGUACCGGAAGAAUAAGCCCCGGCAAACUUCGUGCCAGCAGCCGCGGUAA